ensembl:lncRNA
AGACUUGGAAAUGGCAUUUUCUCUGGUGAAUUCUCAAAUAAUAUGACUAGAUACUGAAAAGGGCGUUUCAACUCAUUCACAAAACAAUCUGUCGUGAUUAUGCUCUCAAAAUUGGAUCACAUUGCCCAGCUGUAUACUUUGCUGAGUGAGCUACACAGUGCAAUAGUUCCAGCUUUUUGGUCUUUUCUGCAUCACACAGCAUAUUUCAGAAAUUAAAUGUUGAUGCUUAUUGGAGCUUCUGAUCCUAUUCUGAAGGUUCAUGCCAUUAGCAGAAAAACAGGCAAGAAAAAAAUUGAGUUAAAUUCUGAGCACAGGUGGAUGAUGAAAGUUUAAGCUCUCCAAGUUGCCAGCAGGAAACUGUAAGAAUACUUCUAUGUGAGCACAGAGAAGGGACUCAUUACAGGUAACUUGAGUUUUUUUUUCUGUGCUUUCUGUUUAUUACUGUUUCUUCAACAGAAUAAGCUUUUUGAGCAAUGAUUUAUACAUUUGAAAACUAUGUAGUGUUGUAGUGUCAAGAAGUUACUUUAUAUGUUAACGUGCAUUCUGCUUAGGAUGAAACCUACCAACAGUAUAGUGUGAAGCAAGGGGUAAAAUAUAGACAAUGAGGAAGAUCAUUGCAGGAUCCAGUUCUGGUCUGUUGGAUUUUUUAAAAAAACAUCCCUCUUAAAUAGCCCAAUACUGAAAAUCACCUAAGCCAUCUUAAACACACAGGUACCUAAAUGCAUGUGGCUGUGCAGUGCGGGUAGUUUUGUUGUGCAGAAAAAUCUUCAGCUCCUUCAAACCUUGCAAUACUCAAGAUGCCUGCCAGUAUUAGUCAAUUUGCAUGCCUCUCUUUGCAUCUUAUCUUUUUUUCCAGAAAGGAAUAGUGUGUGUAAUUCUUUGCUUUCUCUUGACUUUGGCUUUUGGUUGAAGAUGUGAUUACUGCUGUGUUUUUCUGGGCAAGGUAAAGAAGAUGUUGCCACCUUUGAAAGUGGAAAGAGAAAGGAGACUGUUUGGGACUGAGCCCUGCAGAACUGCCUAUAUCAGAAAUGAAUAUUACUUUUCUCUAAAAAGCAGUUCCACUGCAUAUGAGAGCUGAGCUGUUGAGUGAAAGGUCACUUUUCUGGAGUUAACUAUUCU